rnacentral:tRNA from 1 species
GAGGGUGUAGCUCAGUGGUAUAGUGCGCGCCUGGCAUGCACAAGGUCCUGGGUUCAAUCCUCAGUACCUCCA